GGACAGUUAGCUCAGUGGUAGAGCAUCGCCUUCACACGGCGGGGGUCACAGGUUCAAGCCCUGUACUGUCCACCA
rnacentral:tRNA from 3 species